UACGAAGGGGGCUAGCGUUGCUCGGAAUCACUGGGCGUAAAGCGCACGUAGGCGGCUUUCUAAGUCAGGGGUGAAAUCCUGGAGCUCAACUCCAGAACUGCCUUUGAUACUGGAGAGCUUGAGUCCGGAAGAGGUGAGUGGAACUCCGAGUGUAGAGGUGAAAUUCGUAGAUAUUGGAAGAACACCAGUGGCGAAGGCGGCUCACUGGUCCGGUACUGACGCUGAUGUGCGAAAGCGUGGGGAGCAACAGGG
rnacentral:rRNA from 1 species